rnacentral:rRNA from 1 species
UACGUAGGGGGCGAGCGUUGUCCGGAUUUAUUGGGCGUAAAGCGCGCGCAGGCGGUCUGUUACGUCCGUUGUGAAAGCUCCCGGCUCAACUGGGAGAGGUCUUCGGAUACGGGCGGACUCGAGGAAGGUAGAGGAAGGUGGAAUUCCCGGUGUAGUGGUGGAAUGCGUAGAGAUCGGGAAGAACACCAGUGGCGAAGGCGGUCUGCUGGGCCGUUGCUGACGCUGAGGCGCGACAGCGUGGGGAGCAAACAGG